CUUCUGCCAGUGCCCCGGUCCCUUGAUCAUCUUGGUGGCCUUCCAUUGGUCUCCCUCCAGUACCUUCCUGUCUCUCUUGUACUGGGAGCCCAGACCUACACACAGUACACCAUUUCUCUGCAAGGUUAUCUGUAUGGGAACCAUUGAAUCAUGGCCUGAACCUCUGAUUGAUCAGCCGAGGCAAGCACUGAGUCAGCUGUGGGAGCACAGGUGAAGGCAAUUCAGCUGUGUGACCAGAAGGGAUAUAGCAUGGUCGCACCUCUCCUGGACCCCACUUAAGGGCUCUCUGCCAUUGGGGAAGGAUCUCUUUCUGGAGAUCACUCCUCUUGGAGUUUUUUCUGUGAGCCUACAACACGGGCGCUUGACAGUCUUGUUAGUGGAUGCCAACGUCAAAUGUGUUUGGAUAUCCCUGAGUACUCUGCUUGUUGCUCUGGUCCGUGUGCCUUGACCUGUCAUUUCAAGACUGCCUCUCCUUUCAGAAAGAGAUUCCCAGGGAGACAAACCUCAGAUAAGUACUCUGUUGGACCACAGUCACUGCAAAGGGUCCUACUUUAAAAAAUUGUAUGUAAAAGAGUGAUUUUUAUUUAACUCUGGAGUUGAAGUCCCUUGCCAAUUUUUUGGUCAGAGUUAUCAAAAAGAUAAACACACAGUAAGUGCUGGAGUAUAGAAAGCAGACAAACUAUGGGAGCUGCAUGUGGGAAAAGCCGUAUCUCGUGGUGGGAAGCUCUGCCUUACUGCAGUGAGGGCAACAGGUGCUUAAUGGCUGCCCUCAAAAAACACAGCUUCUGCCAAAAAAUUACGUUACUUUCCUAGUAUAGGUCUGUAUAAAAGAAAUAGCACUAAAGCCGCCCUCAAAGGCCUGUCCUCAUUUGUUUGUUUAUUUUAGUGCAUUUUUAAAAUACUGCUUAUUACAUAUUUCCAUGAACGUUGCUGCACAAAUGUUACCACUGUGUAGGACAGCUGCCAGGUUACCACAUUUACGUUGUGGUAGUGGUUUGGCGAUGUAGAACCCCAUGUGCCGGUCACAUGGAAGGGUCUCUCCUUUAUUUUUCUGUGCUAAAAAGUGUCUUUUGGACAAUCUCUCUCCUCUGUGUUGCUUUCACCAGGUAUCUCCGGGCAUGUGAGUGCUGCUAGAAUUCUUCUGCAGGCCCAGAACUGCUUUCCACCUGCUAGGAAGGAGGACUUGGUCACAUGACCUGGAGGAAAAACAAAAAUUUGCUGGUAUUUCUUUGAUCAGUAGGAAAUGAAUAUUCUGUGUUCAGACAAGUAUGGAGGAUUGGUCACUGGCCAUAAAUCACACAUAACUAAAAAGAGUGGCGUGGAAUACCAUGAAGGCCUGCUGUACUUGAUGCUUUGUAUGCCUUCAGGCCACAGGCAGGGAUGCAAAUGUACUGACAUGGAUGGGACUGAGUUUGUCUGUAGCAGAAUCUGUAACGGAAACGCUGUGCUUCUGUUUCAGAAGACAAACAUUUCACCUUUGCUGACAUCAAAACUCUCCAUGAAAGAAGUGGCGCUGAAAAUCAGCCUUACUGGAGGUGACCUUACUGUGCUGGAUGCUCACGGCUGGUGGGGCAAUGGGAGAGCUCAGGUGCAUGCCCACAUUUCUUGCAGAGUGAUGCAAGGAUGAGCAGCUUGCCCUGGAGGCAGCAAGCAGACGUUUCCUAUUGCCCAGCAUCUGCUGUUUGAGACGUUUCCCAAAGAAGAGGCCAAGUAGGUCUCCUGAAGUUUAAUGCGCACAUCAUCAGAAGCUCGAGUGUGCCUCUGUUUGUCGUGCUGAGAAAUGCUGUGAGCGGUCAGAACCAAGAAAAAUUGGGCUUUGGGACCCUUAUUACAGGAUGGACUUGAUUCAAGCUCUCUUAACGUGACAGGGCACACACGGCGAUUCUGAAAGCAGCUUUAAAAGAACUGCCCUCUGCCACAAGGCCAGAGGUGAGUGAGUCACAAACUGCACACAACCGCCUCCCACUGCCAGACUCAGGCCGUUAGCGAGGCCACAGCCUUGUGAAUUAAAGCUGAACAGCGAGAGCCUGCGUGUGUACCUCUCAUCAGAGAGAAUUAUCCCAUCCCAAUGCCUCCUUCGGCGAGAAGUGGUGUUUAAUUAUAGAAAGCUUCGUGCAGGAAAACUCCAAAUUAUGUCUGAGAAUGAAAACAAUUGCUGGCUGCAUUCUUCAGCAUUUUGUACCUAGCAGCUGAGGAGAAAAGCAACACUCUGCAGCCAGAGAUACACGCGGGUAUUUCUACAGGCAUAUUCAAAAG
ensembl:lncRNA